UGCCCUAGUAGCUUAGCCAUAAAGCACCGGUCUUGUAAUCCGGAGAUCGAAGGUUAAAACCCUUCCUAGUG
rnacentral:tRNA from 1 species